GAGGGUAUAGCUCAGUGGUAGAGCACAUGUUUAGCAUGCAUGAGGUCCUGGGUUCAAUCCCCAGUACCCCCA
rnacentral:tRNA from 1 species